AACAACAACAACUUACUUUCACAUUCAUUAUUUUCUCUUGCAUAUAGGAGCAACUGAUAGUGGCAUGAGUUGUAUUCUGGUCCAGCCAUGGGGCCCAUCACAGGGGGUCCAGUGGUUGCAGUUUCUGUCACAGGUGUUGGAGUGUCUGUAGGGCCUGUUGUAGGAGGUGGAGUGUGUGCAUGGUCUGUCACAGGGUUGGAACAGCUGUUGGGUCUGUUACAAGAGUUGGAGUGUCUGUAGGGACUGUCACAGGUUUUGGAGUUCCUGUAGGGGCUGUGGCAAGGGCUGGUGUA